rnacentral:rRNA from 1 species
AACGAACGCUGGCGGCAGGCUUAACACAUGCAAGUCGAGCGCCCCGCAAGGGGAGCGGCAGACGGGUGAGUAACGCGUGGGAAUCUACCCAUCCCUACGGAAUAGCUCCGGGAAACUGGAAUUAAUACCGUAUACGCCCUACGGGGGAAAGAUUUAUCGGGGAUGGAUGAGCCCGCGUUGGAUUAGCUAGUUGGUGGGGUAAAGGCCUACCAAGGCGACGAUCCAUAGCUGGUCUGAGAGGAUGAUCAGCCACAUUGGGACUGAGACACGGCCCAAACUCCUACGGGAGGCAGCAGUGGGGAAUAUUGGACAAUGGGGGCAACCCUGAUCCAGCCAUGCCGCGUGAGUGAUGAAGGCCUUAGGGUUGUAAAGCUCUUUCACCGGGGAAGAUAAUGACGGUACCCGGAGAAGAAGCCCCGGCUAACUUCGUGCCAGCAGCCGCGGUAACAC